rnacentral:rRNA from 1 species
AGCUCACGUAAGAGUUUGAUCCUGGCUCAGAUUGAACGCUGGCGGCAUGCCUUACACAUGCAAGUCGAACGGUAACAGGUUAAGCUGACGGGUGGCGAACGGGUGAGUAAUAUAUCGGAACGUGCCCAGUAGUGGGGGAUAGCCCGGCGAAAGCCGGAUUAAUACCGCAUACGACCUACGGGUGAAAGCGGGGGAUCGCAAGACCUCGCGCUAUUGGAGCGGCCGAUAUCAGAUUAGCUAGUUGGUGGGGUAAAAGCUCACCAAGGCGACGAUCUGUAGCUGGUCUGAGAGGACGACCAGCCACACUGGGACUGAGACACGGCCCAGACUCCUACGGGAGGCAGCAGUGGGGAAUUUUGGACAAUGGACGAAAGUCUGAUCCAGCCAUGCCGCGUGCGGGAAGAAGGCCUUCGGGUUGUAAACCGCUUUUGUCAGGGAAGAAAAGCUCCGAACUAAUAUUUUGGGGUGAUGACGGUACCUGAAGAAUAAGCACCGGCUAACUACGUGCCAGCAGCCGCGGUAAU